rnacentral:snRNA from 1 species
AGAUGUUGGGGUGAUCUGGCUGUAACAUCUGUCACCCUAUUGAUCGCCAGGGUUGAUUUGGCUUAUCUGGCUGGCUAGGCGGUUGUCCCCUUCCUCCCUCUCCACUCCAUGUGUGUCCCUCCUUAAGUUGUGUGCUCGAUUGAAGAGGACGCCCUUCCUCAAAUAGAGGAGGACCGGUCUUAGGUCAAGGGUAUACGAGUAGCUGCACUCCCCUACUAGAACCUCCAAACAAGCUCUCAAGGCCCAUUACUGUCUUUCUUAUGAAUCCAUAUGUGAAUUUUUUAGAGGCUGGAUUUUCUGAUAUAGUAACAUACUUUUAAGGCCCUAGGAAAGUGUAGUACUU